rnacentral:tRNA from 1 species
CAAAAUGUAGCUUAAUUAAAGCAUUUCGCUUACACCGAAAUAAUAUCUGUGGAACCCUGAUCAUUUUGA